GCGCUCUCUUUGGCAAUAUAUAUACUUAGAUUGGAAUGAUGCAGAGAAGGUUAGCAUGGCCCCUGAGCAAGGAGGACCUGCAAAUUCAUGAGACCUUCCGUAUUUUU
ensembl:snRNA U6 U6 spliceosomal RNA